ACUCCUACGGGAGGCAGCAGUGGGGAAUAUUGCACAAUGGAGGAAACUCUGAUGCAGCAACGCCGCGUGGAGGAUGACACUUUUCGGAGCGUAAACUCCUUUAUAUAGGAAGAUAAUGACGGUACUAUAUGAAUAAGCACCGGCUAACUCCGUGCCAGCAGCCGCGGUAAUACGGAGGUGCAAGCGUUACUCGGAAUCACUGGGCGUAAAGAGCGUGUAGGCGGGUUAUUAAGUCAGAAGUGAAAUCCUAUGGCUCAACCAUAGAACUGCUUUUGAAACUGGUAACCUAGAGUAUGGGAGAGGUAGAUGGAAUUUCUGGUGUAGGGUAAAAUCCGUAGAGAUCAGAAGGAAUACCGAUUGCGAAGGCGAUCUACUGGAACAUUACUGACGCUGAGACGCG
rnacentral:rRNA from 1 species